ensembl:lncRNA
GCCCAGGAGGCGUGGCUCGCAGCCUCAGGGUUUGUGGUAAUAGGCUAAGUUUCCCGGUUGUCUCUGGCCAAUCAUCUUGUUUGUUCCCGUAUUUGGUCCGACUCAGGGCCUCCCUCGCUGCGGACUCAGUCAAGAUGAGUUCCAGCGCCAGAGCUUCUGGGAGGACAUAUUAUAGGCUGACAUCGCCUUCUGCUUUGGCUCCUCCCGAGUUCUUCUGGUCUGGCAGCAGCUUGUCUGCACUGUGUUCUUUAUCAGGACCUCCUGUUGAGAAACAACUCGUACAAAGGGUUACUGUCGUGCCUGAUUGGGGUCAAACAAGACACAUCUGUGAACUCUGUGCAGGCUUAGGAGCUGGCAGUUAUGGACCUCUGAUGUACAUGACGUGAGAAGAGGGAACACCAAGUUCUUAUUUGUCCAGCUGGCUCGAAGCUGUUAGGAUGAGCCCUGCAGCUGGAUGAAGCUGAGCUUCCAGCUGAGAGCCAGUGUCAACUUGCCAGCCACCUUGGAAGGGGAUUCUUCAGCACCCAGCCAAGCUACUCCAGCUGCUGGUGUGUGGAACAGAGACCAGCUAGCUCAUCACACCCUGUCCAAUUUCAUGAGCCAAGUCAAUAACUACUGUUGUUUCAAGCCACCAUGUUUUGGAGUGUGU